GUGCCUGUAGAGGCAGUGAAUAGCCCAUUGGACUUUUAAUCCAAUGGUCUUGGGUUCGAAUCCCUCCUGGGAUG